rnacentral:lncRNA from 1 species
UGAGAAGCUCGAGAGGGGAAAAGGAGAGGGGGGGAAUUGGGUCUGGGUGAAACUGUUUUAAUUUUUAUGGAUUUUGGUAGGGGUAGGUGAGAUUUCGGAGCUGAGGGUCAAAUGGGGAUCGCUUUCUCCUAGGAGGUUGCAGGCCUGCGGCUAUGGCCCAUGGGCCUAAUAGAUUAUCUGGGUCUAGAUCAGAUCGAAUCGGAUUUUUUGAUAAACAAUGUAAAAUUGACUUAAAAAAAUGGGUUAGGUCGUAUCAAAUCUGGGUUGGGUCGGAUUGAACCCGAUCUGAAAAAUAGAACGAGUCCAAAUUUAAGACCCAACUGGCUCCGCGGGUCCUAA